UUUAUGGAGAGUUUGAUCCUGGCUCAGGAUGAACGCUGGCGGCGUGCCUAAUACAUGCAAGUCGAGCGAACAGAUAAGGAGCUUGCUCCUUUGACG
rnacentral:rRNA from 2 species